GAGUUUGAUCCUGGCUCAGAACGUACGCUGGCGGCACGCCUAACACAUGCAAGUCGAACGAAGUAGCAAUACUUAGUGGCAGACGGGUGAGUAACAUGUAGGUAUCUGCCCUUUGGCCUGGAAUAACACGAGGAAACUUGUGCUAAUACCGGAUAAGUCUUUACGGAGAAAGCUUUAUGCACCAUUGGAUGAGCCUGCACUUGAUUAGUUUGUUGGUGGGGUAAUGGCCUACCAAGACUGUGAUCAAUAGCUGAUUUGAGAGGAUGAUCAGCCACAUUGGGACUGAGACACGGCCCAAACUCCUACGGGAGGCAGCAGUGGGGAAUCUUGCACAAUGGAGGAAACUCUGAUGCAGCGAUGCCGCGUGAGUGAAGAAGGCCUUUGGGUUGUAAAGCUCUUUCGUCGGGGAAGAAAAUGACUGUACCCGAAUAAGAAGGUCCGGCUAACUUCGUGCCAGCAGCCGCGGUAAUACGAAGGGACCUAGCGUAGUUCGGAAUUACUGGGCUUAAAGAGUUCGUAGGUGGUUGAAAAAGUUAGUGGUGAAAUCCCAGAGCUUAACUCUGGAACUGCCAUUAAAACUUUUCAGCUAGAGUAUGAUAGAGGAAAGCAGAAUUUCUAGUGUAGAGGUGAAAUUCGUAGAUAUUAGAAAGAAUACCAAUUGCGAAGGCAGCUUUCUGGAUCAUUACUGACGCUGAGGAACGAAAGCAUGGGUAGCGAAGAGGAUUAGAUACCCUCGUAGUCCAUGCCGUAAACGAUGUGUGUUAGACGUUGGAAAUUUAUUUUCAGUGUCGCAGGGAAACCGAUAAACACACCGCCUGGGGAGUACGACCGCAAGGUUAAAACUCAAAUGAAUUGACGGGGACCCGCACAAGUAGUGGAGCAUGUGGUUUAAUUCGAAGAUACGCGCAGAACCUUACCAACACUUGACAUGUUCGUCGCGACUCUAAGAGAUUAGAGUUUUCGGUUCGGCCGGACGAAACACAGGUGCUGCAUGGCUGUCGUCAGCUCGUGUCGUGAGAUGUUGGGUUAAGUCCCGCAACGAGCGCAACCCUCACUUUUAGUUGCCAUCAUUAAGUUGGGCACUCUGAAAGAACUGCCAGUGAUAAGCUGGAGGAAGGUGGGGAUGACGUCAAGUCCUCAUGGCCCUUACGUGUUGGGCUACACACGUGCUACAAUGGUAUCUACAACAGGAAGCAAGACUGCGAAGUUAAGCAAAUCCCUAAAAGAUACCUCAGUUCGGAUUGCACUCUGCAACUCGAGUGCAUGAAGCUGGAAUUACUAGUAAUCGUGGAUCAGCGUGCCACGGUGAAUGCGUUCCCGGGUCUUGUACUCACCGCCCGUC
rnacentral:rRNA from 1 species